GUGUUCUUCGUUCAAUCAAUGUUUUUUUUCUGUACUGCUUUGCAGAAAAGGGAGGAUUCCCCCGAUUUCAGCAAAAGAUUGCAAGAUUUUUCUUUUCAUUAAGCACUUUCCAUCGAAUAGAAGUUGUCUUAAUCCCGAUCCGGGAUGUCGCUGCUCUACAACACCGGCGAUUGGUUCGCGCUCGGCCAUGGCAACUCGUACCGGAAAAUCGAUCUCUACACCAUGGACUGGCCAGCCAGUAUUAAUCUGGAGCACAUGACGGUCCAUGCCGCCCCGUACGGCGGUCCGAUAGCGCUAGUGAAAGAUUCCAAGCAGUUCAUCAAACUGUCCGGUGGCGAAUCGACCAAACCCGUCAUCCGGAUCUUCAACUGUUCGGGGCGGUUGAUUUCGACGAUUAAUUGGGACAACGGCAACAGCGGGAACCUUGUGUGCAUGGGUUGGUCCGAUGCGGAGGAAUUCCUUGUGGUCCAGGCGGACGGAUCGGUGUGGCGCUACGACAUGUUCGGGAACUUUUUGCACAAGUUCAGCAUGGGGGCGGACGUGACGGAUGUGCAGGAUGCGAAGAUUUUCGCGUCCAGUUCCGGUACCGGGAUCGCAGUGCUGACGGCCAGCUGGAAGAUCUACAUUGUCAACAGUGUAAUGGAUCCGAAGCUGCGGCCUCUGUCGGAAUUGUUGUCACUUUCGAGCGAUCUCACCUGCUGGGAGCUAGUUUCCAAAGAGCGUAACACGUGCUGCCUCCUAGCUCGCGGAACCGACAUCAUCCUGGCCCGUCACGGCGACAGCGCUCCGACAACUCACCAGCUGGGCAUGAAGAGUGACUACAGCAGCAUAGUUGCCAUGGCCGUUUCUUUUAAUCAUCGGCAUCUGGCCAUUUACACCAACACUGGUGCCAUCUGGCUGGGAUCGGCCGAUCUGCGCACUAAAUAUUGUGAAUUUGCCACCGGACGCAGCGAGCGGCCCCAGCAGAUCGCCUGGUGCUGCGAUGAAGACCCGCAUCCGGACCAGCAGGCCGUGAUCGUCGCCUACGCUUCGAUGGUUCAGGUCAUCGGAAUGACCGGCGAUUCCAACAUCUACACGUACGAUUCCCCGACGGUGCUGAUUCCGGAGAUGGACGCCGUCCGGGUGCUGACCAACAACACCCACGAGCUGUUCCAACGGGUUCCGUCCAGUACUGGGAAAAUCUUCGGCAUCAACAUCUCCGAGCCGGCCAGCUUCCUGUUCGAGGCGCACAUGGAGUUCCAGAAGCGCAGUCACAAGUCGGACGAGUUCCUUUGUCUGAUCCAGGACCGGCUGGCCUCGGCCGUGGGUGAAUGCGUGGCAGCCGCCGGCCAGGAGUUCGAUUCUCACACCCAGAAGAGCCUUGUUCGGGCGGCUCACUUCGGGAAAAGCUUUCUGCCCGGGUACAACCCGGACGGGUACAUCGAGAUGUGUCGCGUGCUUCGGGUACUGAAUGCCUUGCGGGAACCCAUCGUCGGGAUGCCGCUGACGCUGAGGCAAUUCAACCAUUUGCAGCCUUUGGUCAUACUGGAUCGGCUGAUCUUUCGGAAGCACUACGCACUGGCCAUCCAGAUUGCUAAGCAUCUAAAGCUGCCCGAGUCAAGGAUUCUGGAACAUUGGGCGUUUCACAAAAUUGAACACGAUAAGAAUGACGAGGAAGUGGCCCGCAAAAUCUCCGACAAGUUCCGUCACCAUCCGAUGGGCGAUCGGGAGCGCAUUUCUUUCGCCAACGUGGCCAAGAAGGCCCAGCAAAAGGGCCGCAACAAGCUGGCCAUCACCCUACUGGAACAGGAGCCACGCAAAAGCCUGCGGGUUCCAUUGCUCCUGGAGCUGGAUGCCAGCGAAAAAGCCCUCACCGCGGCCACCCAGUCCGGCGAUACCGAUCUGAUCUACAUGGUGAUUCUCAAGAUGAAGAGCACGACGGCUCUGAGCAAGUUCCAGAUGAUCAUCCGGCGGUUCCCAUUGGCGCAUGAUCUGUACAAAAAGUACUGCCAGGCGAACAGUCUGUCCACCCUGAAGGACAUCUACUCCCAGGAGGAUGACUUCCAGGCACAGGCGGAACUAGGACUGAGGGAAGCGCUGGAGAUCAACAACGUUGAAGUGUCGAUACCGGACAUUAGUGGCAACUACAAGAAAGCCAAUCGAAUGCUGGAAGCGGAUGCCUGUGAUGAGGCGAAGAAGCUGAUGAAACACCAAAAGGUUCUGGACGAAAAGUACCAGAAACGCCUGUACGGACUCCCCCUUCACGAAACCAUCCGUCAGCUGCUCCUCCUCGGGGACAUCAAGUACGCUGAUCGAUUGAAGAGCGAGUUCAAGGUCCCGGAACGCCGCUACUGGUGGCUUCGGAUCUCCGUCCUCUCCCAGCAAUUCCAGUGGGAUGAGCUGGAAAAAUUCGCCAAAUCCAAGAAGAGUCCCAUCGGAUACGAACCGUUCGUGGAGGUUUGCCUCAAGCAGCACAACCUGGAGCAGGCCAAGAAGUAUCUGCCGCGGUGCAGCGAGGAGAACAAGUUCAACUGGUAUCUGAAGGCGGGUUGUUUGCAGGAGGCAGCCUCGGUUGCCUACGAGCAGAAGGAUAUGGAUGGGCUGUGGCGGGUUCAUGGCCGUUGUGCGGCCGAUCCGGCUCUGCUGGCCAAGGUGGACAACUUGAUCGGGCAGUUGGCGUCGAAGAAGUGAGGUUUUCAGGUGAUAUGCGAGGGAGGAGAUAUAACAAAGCUGCAUAAAAACCCGAAUUGAAGAAGGAAUAUCGUUCGUACUGUGGAAUACCGCAUCAGUUAUAAGCGCAUUGGAUUUUGGCAGCAACGCAUAGUGCUCAGGUCUCCUCUGGUUAUAUGAUGACAAAAAUAUUUUCGAACAUGCAGUUACUAUUCAUCAACUUAUUCGGCAUGACAAGAGUAUCGCAGCAAAAAUCUUCAUUCUGAUGUUAUGGUAUGUACUUGUUUAUAUUAUUGGUUUAUUGUAUUGAAGUAUUGAGAAGCAUAUUCCAACACCACAAAGUAUAGUCUUAAGAGGGCCCCAGAUGGCAAUAUUUUUUAUUAUCCAUAAUUCUCUACCGAGUCCACACGAGUUUUCUGAUUUCCCUCAAUAUUUUGCAGGUACUCUAUCGAAUACGACGGUUUGGAAUCGAAUACGACGGUUUGCCCCAAACAGUGCCAAAAAUCGUCCGUUUCUGCCUUCACAUUUGGCUUCACAGUCAAAUGUGUCAAAAGUGCUUUUAUUGCUGGCUCGCUUUCAUUUCAUCUUCGCUCUCUUUCUGUUUGCAUCGAAGACAGUAGAAGUCCCAUCAAAAACGAGGUAGUUUGCACAAAUGACAGCAUGGUGACUCAAUUGACGAGGUUCGUCGAAAAGGGCAUUUGAAAUAGGGUGUCGAAUCGACCUUCGAAUCCAGUGGUCGAGGAAACUCAUAAUAUUUGCAUCAAUAUAUUGAUGUCGUCUUCACACGGCAUCAUUGAAUUGCUGUGUUUUGUCAAAUCAUCAAUAUAUUGAUGUCAUCUAGGGCCCUUAUGGGGCUUUAUGGUUGAUUUAGUGUUCAAAAGGAAUUUCUUGGCCUACCUUAUUGCGUGGAAAACUAGUAGACACGACAAAGGUGACUGUCCCCGGUGAAAUCCGAGUGAACUGGAUAAUUCACCCCAGGGUGGCCACCCUGUCGGGAAUUUCGGGAAAACCGGGAAAAGCUCGGGAAUUCGAAACCACCGGGAAAAAGUCGGGAAAACCUCGGGAAUAGUUGAUAGCCAUCGGGAAUUUCCAACAUUCUAAAAUUUGUACAGUCUCCAGAAGCAUACGUACGAGAAUCUGUGGGAAAUGCAGUCAUCAACUGUUGAACUAUAUAACGUAGUGGGUGAACUGGCGUAAAAACCAUUCUUGGAAAUUUAUAUCUUGUCGUCGAGUCAUGACAAUUUAAAUUAAUCAUAGUGAUGUUACCUAACAUCACAAUUUGAACAAUUUCAAAGAUAUUCUAAAGAACAUUCUGGUGGAAAGACUGGUUGAGGUUGAGACACAUUCAAAUAUUUAUAGAUUCAUAUGUCACUUAUGCAUUUCAGAAUGUAUAUGUUUCUGAAAAAAUAAAGCGUUUAAUAAAAGUUUUAUAAAACAUAACAAGAAUUAUAACUUCUUUCUAAAAAUAUCCUUGUACAAUCUCUAGGAGAUUUUUUUAUUUUAUCUGUAUUAACGAGAUUUUUAGCCCUAGGCUAGUUCAUCUCGGGACCAGUGUUGCGAAUACUCACUUGCGAAAAGUUAUACUCACUUGCUUCUAUCUCAGUCCAGAAGCAUGCUAUCAAAAAAUGAUAUUUGGAUGGAUUUUAGAUUGUAGUUUAAUCUAAAAGUUUGCCGAAUAAAGCAAAGGUCGCAGACGCAUACCAAAACCGUGAGAGAGCUGUGAGCACAAUGUGAGUAUAACUUACACGAAUUUUACUCACCUCGUACUCACAGCUCACUCACAACUUUGGUAUGCGUCUGCGACCUUUACUUUAUUCGGCUAACUUUUAGAUUAAACUACAAUCUAAAAGCCCUUCAAACAUCAUUUUUUGAUAGCAUCCUUCUGGACUGAGAUAGAAGCAAGUGAGUAACACUCUUGCAAGUGAGUAUUCGCAACACUGCUCGGGACCCAUAAUUUACUCACAUUUUGCGAGUUUGUCGGGAGUGGGAUUCGAUCCCAGGUCCUCUAGGAGAAUAUUUGAUAUAGCCUUUGUCCUUUGAGCGAAAAGUCUUCGAGAAAUUUGGAUAGGGUGCUGAUAUUUUUUUUAAUGAAUGAAUGAAUUGCCCCAAGAAUAAAUUAAAAUUAAAAAUUAUGAAAUUGUGGACGAGUAAUUCAGGUGAAAACAUUUUUACAAUUUAAAAAUAGUUAGUGAAAAACAAUUGAAAGAAUAUUUGAAGGGAUUUUUAGUCUAUUGUAGCUCAUAAAAGUAUUUCUAAUAUUUUGUUUUUGUUGAAGUUUUUCAUGAAGUUCUUGUAUGUACUCAUUUAUUGAACUUGUGAAUAACAAUGUUCGGAGAAAACUGGAAUGAGGUAUCGGGAAAAUCCCUUUUUGGUGAAGCUUUAGCAGAAGUCCCUGGUAAAACUCAUGGUUCAGCAAAUUCUCGAGAAUUUUGAGUAUUCGUAGUUUCUAGUUAAACUACCAAUUGAAAUUCUCGCGGGAGUUCCAGUGAGUAUUCAAAAGCAUCCGGAGCAAUAUAGUUGUAUGAUUUAUGGAAAUAAAUAAUUCCCAAAUAAUGAAUCUGCCUCUACAUUUUGGGGGAAAUACUUUCUCAAAAACUACUCUUUCAGGAAUUCCUGGAGAAAUUCUUGACAUAUCUAACAAUGUGAUCAGAAAUUAAAUCUCUGAGAGCUCCAUAUUGCAAUCGCUGGAUGAAAUAACAGAAUGUUAGACGAGUAUCAGACAAAAUCUAAGAGAGAGAGGAGGGAAACCUGCUUGACUUUCUGCAGUAGCCAUUUACGGUACCAUAACGUUCGCCACUGGUUUUCUAUUAAAAUAUCUAGAAAAUGACCAUCAAAAAUACUACACAAAAGAUUUUCCAAGAAAUCGUUUCCAAAAUUCUUUCACGAGUAUUCUUUCCAGAUAUUCCACCAGAAGUUCAUCCAGAAUGUUUUUUUCUGGGCAUUCUGUUAUUGCCUAUUCGUUUCCCAAACAAACUUACCAAGAAUUUUUCAGAAGAGUUUUGGAAUAUUACUAAGAAAUCCACUAAUAAGAAGUUCGUAAAUCCUAUAAUCAUACUGAGAAUUUCGACCCCCUCAGGAUUAUCUUUUUUAUUUUUAUUUGCUUAAACAUCUGCAAUUUGUACUAGUUGGUCAUCUAUGAAUUUAAGGAAUGUUAAAUGAAGAUGUCGUAAUUUCAAUGCCCAUCAUUGGAGGAAUGUUACAGAUACGAGACAAACUACACAUAACUUAUUUUCAAGUUCAUAUGAAUACUAUGUUAAAUCCAAGGAUUUGAAAAUAUUCAAUAUUAAUUCUCUUAAUUUUUUCUUAGUAAGUUACGUUUAAUUUUCACUGUAAAUCAUUCUAUUUUAGAAUCGGGAAAAAUUUCAAAAGCCUAUCGAGAAAACCGGGAAAAACUCGGGAAUUUUAUUUCCCGCUCUGAGUGGCCACCCUGUUCACCCGGACCCGAGACCCUACACAGUUUUGUACACCGCCCACCGUCGUGCUUUUAUUAAUUUGGUCAACGUGCCAGGAAAGCCGUUCUCGUCCAUAGUUUUCCAUAGCUCUGUACGGUCGAUACAGUCAGGUCUUUUUUUACGCGAUUUUCAUUUACGCGACCGGUUUUCUUUUUUUACGUGGUUUUUCAUCAAUAUCUUUUUUGUUUCAAAUUUCUCGUCAAAGUCGCCUGAGAAUCACUUUUAGAGCUUCCAAAAACGCGCAUUUUCGUGCGCUGAGAAUGUUGCUACGUCAUUCCGUUCAAAAGAUAUUGAUGAUUUUCUAGAAAAAAUGGCACUUUUCAAGUUUUUUUUCACCUGAGUUACAAAAAUAACACCCCUCUAAUUUUUUGAUAUGUUUUAUAACAACAUUUCUUCUUUUGAAUGCAGGCAAAAGAUAUUUUUUAUGUUUGCCCCAACCCAUCAAAGACCCUUUUUAAUAAACUAUGAUUUUUUAAGAAAAACGCCUGUAACUUUUGAACCAAAAGAGAUAACGACCAUCUCAGCGCACGAAACGACGCGUCUUCAAAUGCUCUACAAGUUUGUGGGCGACUUUGAUGAAAAAUCGAAACUGAAAAAGUUAACACCAAAAAACCGGUUUCUCUUGAACCACCCUAAGCUUAUCCAGAAAAAAUAUCUCUAGAUCGGUCGAUUAUAAAGCUACAUAAAAAGUGUCUUCAGCAAACUUGCUCAACAUUGAUAGAUCUACAACUGUACAAUGUAUACAGUUAUUCUUGCAAAUAAAAAAGUUUGGUUACCAAUAUCUUUGAAAAUAUGGACCACCCUUAUUUUCAUGCACAUUUUAAAGAAGGCCUUAUGGCCGCACGGGACGACGUGUAUUUUUUGCUAUCUUCCCUCUCUUUCUAACAAUUUGCCUCGCGAUUUUGAAGAUGCAAAUAUCAGUUUCCACUGCACUGACGCAGCUGAAACUUUAGUCGAUUGUGCACCGCAAGUGAGCAAAUGAGCGAUCAAAUUUCUAGCCAACAAUAUGAAGUAGAAGUUGAGAUUUGCUUCUAAUUAACAACAGAGCAAUGGCGGACGAUUCAACCAUCGUCCCGUCCGGCCUUAUUAUUAGGGACAACUUUGUAGAAGACCAUAUUUGCCUAAAAACUCAUUUGAAGGCGUUGAAUGCAUCUUUCCUCGUAAAUCUUGUUCGUGGACCACUGUGCAAUGGCACACAAUCGGUGAAGUGCUAAAAUUGAAGUAGUGAGCUGAAGUUUUGUAAGGUGAGAAGGCCGAUUCUCCAUUUCUUUCAUUUUCAUUUUCAUUUUGCAGCAUUUGGUGGGGCAAUGAGAGCGCAAGUCAGUCCAAAGCCGAUGAUAAGGAGGGGUAAUGGCUGAAUAGUCUUUGCUGACCACAUAAACGCCAUGGGAUAGGAAAAGGGUAUUUUGGUGUGGGAUUAGGGUGUUGGUGUAGACUUGACGAUAUCAAUGUUAUUCAGAUGCAAAAUAGUUUUAAGGCUCAAUAGUGAAUCGCAUACCUUCCAAAACAAAAAAAAAAACAAUAAUUCACAAAAUACCAAGCAAGUCAUAGAAAGAAAAAGUGCCCGAUUGUUUAUUUUGUCAAUCAUAACAAACGGAAACUUCUAACCUCUCCGACUCGCCAGUCACCCCGGAAAAAAUGUCCCUUCAGUUCUGGAAAAUAUAUUAUCCCCAAUUAAGCCUUUAAUCGAAUUGUCCGCGUGGUCUUGUAGUACCCCUGCUAGGUAAGAAUCAGUCAUUGCCAUACAUAUUAAAUGCUAGACAUGACCCCAUGGAUAGCAUUUGCAUAUGUAAAAGCUUUGCUGAUGUGACUUUCCUGUUAGGCAAUUCUCUCAGCUCAUGUUUGUCUUCAAAACCUUAUCAAGCUUAGAAAAUUGAAGUUGAUAAACAAUACAUUACAAGGUUCGAAUUCCCAUAGAAUGAGAUCAUUCAUUCGCACUACAACACCAUAGGAGAUAAUACCACAUUGGCUGAUUACAGUGCAAAUGUGAAAAAUCUCCCUUUUCCCCCUAUCCGCAACCCGGGGACGCGCCCUGUUGGAUUUCGAAAGCCUCGGAGAAUAUUACAAACUUUCAAUGGCAUUCCCAUAAACUAACCCACAUUGCCCAUUCAGGGGUCUGACUGGGCCUAUUACCCUCCCUCAGUUUGUAAUAUUCUCUCCAACUUGGAAUUAUAUUUUCCCGGCACAUAAAUGACUUCGACAAAUGUUCGAUAUACUAUGCAGCGUCAUGAUCAGUAUAACUAUAUCAGAUGACUUGAAGAUCUGAUUCUCACAGAAUUGUUUGCCAUUGAUUAUACAUUCAGCUAUUCCAAUCAUUACUGCAAAGGCCAUCGACCACAUGCCUGAAAUCAAAGCUUCCUGGAAGAUAUAAUCCAAGCCCAGGGAGAAGGCCGAUUCUCCAUUUCUGCAAUGAAAUGCUUAAAAAAGCGUGGGUAAUAUGAUUCCUUGCCUAAUUUGAUGCUGUUUGAGCAAAACUUCGGGUAACUGUGUUGUUUAGGUUGCAAGAAAUAGAGAAAUCAACAAUAGGGUCCAUUGCAGAAAUGGAGAAUCGUCCUUCUCACCAUACAACAAUUCAGCUCACUGCUUCAAUUCUAGUACUUCACCGAUUGUGUCCUAUUAUUUUAACCCUUAUGUGGCCGGCAGGGUACCCGGGUACCCAGCACCCAUUUAAAAUACACGGUGUAGAAAAAAGCAAAAAGUUUGCCGGCCACAUAACGGUUAAAUCAGCAUUCUUUUGAACGAAAGCUGAGCACAAGAGGUACAAUCCUUUAUUCAGCUCCUAAAGGACCCAUUAGACAUGACAAAUAUUUGGCCAAACAAGCCCAACAAAUGACCAACACAACGUAAAUCAUGGCAACCUCGGAUGAAUGUCGGACUACAAUGGCAAAUAUUUGUCAUUAUGACAAACAGUGUAAUGGCCCCUUAAACAUCUAAUUUUGGUGAUUUUAUUCAACAUUUAGCUGAUUUGAUGUUCAUUGGAAAGCUGAUGUAAGGCUUAAUAUGUGCUUAAUCAGUAUUCAAUGAAAUUUAUUAAUUGUGUAAAAAUAAAAUAAAAACACUUUCGUAAGCCUAUUUUUACCAUUAGCUGCGUCUAUUUCCAGAAAAAAUGUUUAGGAAUGUAUAAAUUAACCUGUGUGAAAACUGGGAAAUUGAACUGAACUGGGAUCUCCUGAUUUAUAGCCACACACAAUUGUAUACUUAUCCUUGAAAACAAGAUCAAUCCUGGUUGAGUCUGAAUAGUCAAGAACAUAAGUUGAACUAAGUCUGUAUUGAGGCUGAAGAAGCGAUGUGGACUUCACGAAAACAUGCUUGGGUCAGCUGCCAAAAAUUAUUUGAUUAAAGGUUGAACAACAGAUGAUUAACUCUGCUUGUUGGUGUAUGUUUUGAAGCUGGUUACUGAGAUGAAUAAUAUUCUAUUCAACUUGAUACUCAGCCAUCUAUGUAUUGCUGAUUAAAGAGGUUGAACAAGCCAUACUUCUGAACAAUAUUCAGCUGUCAUUGUGUUCAGCCAUUGACACCAUUAACAGCUAUUGUUCAGCUAAUACUCUCACUGUUCAGCAUUCAUUGUUACUUGAGUGGCUAUUCGUAGCACCUUUUUCCAGCACAGCCUCCCGUAUCGUUACACCUGGAGGAGAAGGACGCAGCGCGGGUGGUAAUGGUGCAGCAUGGAACCCGACAGAAUGUGGAGCGAUACAGACAGAAGCGGAAGCAACAGGCCCGUCUCUUCCGGGAGAAAAAGCGCCGCCUGGAAGAAGCGGAGUGCGAAGAAAUGGAACUGCUGUGCCGUUCACAAGAAACACGUUAGUUCUACCAGAUGCUCAACGCAUCCCGCAAAGGCUACGUGCCGCAAGCCGCAAUCUGCAGGGAUAAGGAUAGGAGCCUUCUGACGGACAAACGUGAGAUGAUCGAAAGGUGGAAGCAGCACUUCGACGAGCACCUGAAUGGCGAAGAGAACGUAGGCACGGGGGAUCAAGGCAGCGGAGGACGGGAACGAACCAACUCCCACGCUGAGGGAAGUUAAGGAUGCCAUCCACCAGCUCACAAACAACAAAGCGGCUAGUAAGGACGGUAUCGCAACAGAACUCAUCAAGAUGGGCUCGGAAAAGUUGGCCACCUGUCUGCACCAGUUAGUAGUCAAGAACUGGGAAACCGAACAGCUACCGGAGGAGUGGAAGGAAGGGAUAAUCUGUCCCAUCCACAAGAAAGGCGACAAGUUAAUGUGUGAGAACUUUCGAGCGAUCGCCAUUUUGAAUGCCGCCUACAAAGUGCUAUCCCAGAUCAUCUUCCGUCGUCUUUCACCUCUGAAGUAAAUGAGUUCGUGGGAAGUUACCAAGCCGGUUGCAUCGACGGCCGAUCGACAACGGACCAGAUUUUCACCGUACGGCAAAUCCUCCAGAAAUGCCGUGAAUACCAGGUCCCAACGUAUCACCUGUUCAUCGACUCCAAGGUGGCAUACGACAGUAUCGACCGUACAGAGCUAUGGAAAAUCAUGGACGAGAACAGAUUUCCCGGGAAGCUUACCAGACUGAUAAGAGUAACGAUGGACGGUGUGCAGAACAGCGUAAGCAUUUCGGGUGAACUAUCCAGUUCAUUCGAAUCUCGACGGGACUUUCCUGCCUACUAUUAAACAUCGCCCUGGAAGGUGUUACGCAACGAGCCGGGCUCAACAGCCGGAGUACGAUCUUCACGAAAUCCGGCCAAUUUGUCUGUUUUGCGUAUGAUAUGGAUGUUAUUGCUAGAUUAUUUGGAAAGGUGGCAGAACUGUACACCCGCCUGAAACGUGGUGGGACUGAGCGAGACAGGACAAGCCUUGGCAGCGAUGUGACGAUAGAUGGGGAUUUUUUCGAGGUGGUGGAAAAAUUCGUCUACCUCGGUUCCUUGCUAACGGCUAACAAUAACGUGAGUCGUGAAAUGCGAAGGCGCAUCAUCAGUGGACGUCGUGCCUACUACGGGCUCCAGAAGAAAC